CCUACGGGAGGCAGCAGUGAGGAAUAUUGGUCAAUGGGCGGGAGCCUGAACCAGCCAAGUCGCGUGAGGGAAGACGGUCCUAUGGAUUGUAAACCUCUUUAGGCGGGGAGCAAUGCCGGGCACGUGUGCCCGGAGGGAGAGUACCCGCAGAAUAAGCAUCGGCUAACUCCGUGCCAGCAGACGCGGUACUACGGAGGAUGCGAGCGUUAUCCGGAUUUAGUGGGUUUAAAGGGUGCGUAGGCGGAUUUUUAAGUCAGCGGUAAAAUGUCCGGGCUCAACCCGGGCCGGCCGUUGAAACUGGGGAUCUUGAGUGGGCGAGAAGUAUGCGGAAUGCGUGGUGUAGCGGUGAAAUGCAUAGAUAUCACGCAGAACUCCGAUUGCGAAGGCAGCAUACCGGCGCCCGACUGACGCUGAGGCACGAAAGCGUGGGGAUCGAACAGGAUUAGAUACCCUUGUAGUC
rnacentral:rRNA from 1 species